rnacentral:rRNA from 1 species
GGGAGAUAGCAAAUAAAGGACUAUUUGAGGAAGACUAGCCAAUUAGAAUAAGGAGGUUAAAUGACCAAAAGGGAUGAUCCAUUUAUGGAUUAACCAAUUCCAAAGGUGAAAGCCUAAAUAAAAUAGCCAAUGAACUGAGAUAUCUAAGUAGUUGGUAAGUAAAUCAAAAGAGAACUCUCUGAGUAGUGAAGAGCGAAAGGAUAAAGGCCAAAACUAGCAGAAUAGGAAUUCAAUCCACUGCAGUUUAAAAGAAGAUAAUGGGCAAAGGCCAAGGCUGAGUAUUACUAAUUGGCGAUAGUGUAAAGUACCGAGAGGGAAAGUUGAAUCAAGAACCCAAGAGGGAGUGAAAUAGAGCCAGAAACAGAUAGUCCAACAGUUGAGAGCCCUAAUUAGGGUGAUCAAUUACCUAUUGCAUAAUGGGUCGGCAAGUUUAUUGAUAGGGUAAGGUGAAAAACCGAGUGAAUACAUAGGAAAUCCUAUUAAUUUGACCCGAAACCAAGUGAGCCUGUCAUUAUUAGGUUUAUAGACCGAACCUGUAGCCGUGGUAAUGGCUUAGGAUGAAUAAUGACAAGAGGACAAAUUCCUAACGAACUUGGAGAUAGCUGGUUGACCGCGAAAACUAUGGCAGUAGUCUUAUCAUUUUUUACCCAAUGGAGUACAGCACCGGUUUCAUCCUGACCUCGGAGAGUUCAUUGGAUUAAAAUAGUGAAAAUGAUAAGUCAGGGCAUCGAGGCUAAGCUCGAUGGUCAAGAGAGAAACAACUCCAUCUAUAGGCUAAAGUUCCAAAAUGGACGUUAAGUGAAUAUAAGACAAUUAGCUGGAUAAGAACUUCCUAAUGUGAGCUUGGAAGCAGCUAUCCUGAAUCGAGUGGGUAACAACCCAAGGAAGAUAGGUGUGAUUGUCGCUAAUUCUAGGAUCUAGAUUUCCUACUUUAGCUAUAGGAUGUUUAAUACAUCGGUAGCGGUCCAAAGAGGGGCUAGUCCCUUUUUAGAAAAUGCUGACAUGAGUAACGUGAAAUGUGGUCAAAAUCCACAUGGCCGAAAGUUUAAGGUUUUCAGCGAUAGGCUCAGGUACGUAAGAGUUAAUUGGUGUCUAACCCUUAAUUGGGGAUGACAAUAUGAAUCAACAGGAAAUGACAUAACCAUACUGAUAACCGACGCUGGUAAACAGGCAUUUAAUGUGCCAAGGCCUGCAGAUAACCAUUUAGAAGGAACUCGGCAAAAUAGGUGUACGACUGUUCACCUCAAACACAAGGCUUAGCAAACUUAUUAAGGAUGUAUUAGGCCUGUCAUCUGCCCGGUGCUAGUAAGUGAAAGCAGCGGAGAGAUUACUCUUCGGGCAUAAGCUCUAGUAAACGGCAGCUGUAACUCUAACAGUUCUAAGGUAGCGAAAUUCCUCGACACUUAAUUGGUGCCCCGCAUGAAUGGUGAAACGAUAUACCAACUGUCUCCUAAAUGGACUGCGUGAAAUUAUACUUCCAGUGCAGAUACUGGUAACUCUCAAUAAGACGAGAAGACCCUUUAAAGCUUCACUACUAGGAAUCGUAAAUUACGAUUCUGAGGUAGUUUGUCUGGGGUGGAAGCCUACUAAAUAGUAACGUAGGCCUACAAAGGUAUGGGAUCUUUAAGAUCCUCACUCGCAAUGGAUUAAACAUACUUGACUGGUAGGUAUACAGACCUACCAGGGAUCAUGAAUAAACUUUAUGGUCGGUCAUAGUGAUCCGGAUGAUUCAAUCAUCCGCUCAAGGAAUCAAAGCUACUUAAGGGAUAACAGGCUGGUCGUGGGUUGGAGUCCAUAUCUUACCCGCGCUUCGGCACCUCGAUGUCGGCUCUUCUCUUCCUGGUGUUGUAAGUGAUACCAAGGGUGUGGCUGUUCUCCACAUAAAGAGGAACGUGAGCUGGGUUCAUACCGUGGUGACACAGGUAGGAUUCUAUCUGUUGAGAGAUAAGUAGAAUAAAGAUACUCGCCCCUAGUACGAGAGGACUGGGUUGAGAGAACCAAUGGUGUAAUCCAUUAGAUGUAGUGAUAUUAUAACUCAUUGAGUGGACUAUUAGCUACGUUCUUUAAAGAUAACUCCUGAAGCCAUCUUAAGGAAGAAACAUCAUCUGAUAUUAUGAUCUACUCAUUUAUGAUACUGGGAUAACCCCAGUUCUUUAGUUUUUACUUAACUUAUUAUCCUUUCAUUGGGUCAUUUACCCAAUUUCAUUUUACGCUAUCUCCC